ACAGGGAUUGCCCUAGUAACGGCGAGUGAAGCGGCAACAGCUCAAAUUUGAAAUCUGGCGUCUUUGGCGUCCGAGUUGUAAUUUGCAGAGGGCGCUUUGGCAUCGGCGGCGGUCCAAGUUCCUUGGAACAGGACGUCACAGAGGGUGAGAAUCCCGUACGUGAUCGCUAGCCUUUACCGUGUAAAGCCCCUUCGACGAGUCGAGUUGUUUGGGAAUGCAGCUCUAAAUGGGAGGUAAAUUUCUUCUAAAGCUAAAUACUGGCCAGAGACCGAUAGCGCACAAGUAGAGUGAUCGAAAGAUGAAAAGCACUUUGGAAAGAGAGUUAAAAAGCACGUGAAAUUGUUGAAAGGGAAGCGCUUGCAGCCAGACUUGCCUGUAGUUGCUCAUCCGGGUUUCUACCCGGUGCACUCUUCUAUAGGCAGGCCAGCAUCAGUUUGGGCGGUUGGAUAAAGGUCUCUGUCAUGUACCUCUCUUCGGGGAGAACUUAUAGGGGAGACGACAUGCAACCAGCCUGGACUGAGGUCCGCGCAUCUGCUAGGAUGCUGGCGUAAUGGCUGUAAGCGGCCCGUCUUGAAACACGGACCAAGGAGUCUAACAUCUAUGCGAGUGUUUGGGUGUCAAGCCCGAACGCGUAAUGAAAGUGAACGGAGGUGGGAACCUUUCGGGGUGCACCAUCGACCGAUCCUGAUGUCUUCGGAUGGAUUUGAGUAAGAGCAUAGCUGUUGGGACCCGAAAGAUGGUGAACUAUGCUUGAAUAGGGUGAAGCCAGAGGAAACUCUGGUGGAGGCUCGCAGCGGUUCUGACGUGCAAAUCGAUCGUCAAAUUUGGGCAUAGGGGCGAAAGACUAAUCGAACUAUCUAGUAGCUGGUUCCUGCCGAAGUUUCCCUCAGGAUAGCAGUAACGUUUUCAGUUUUAUGAGGUAAAGCGAAUGAUUAGAGGCCUGGGGGUUGAAACAACCUU
rnacentral:rRNA from 1 species